UUGGCCACCAGGAAGCAAUAUAAUACGGUCAUGCCGAUACAAACGAAGAAGAAUUUCGAAACACACGAGAGAAAGUCAAAAUCAUGGCUUAACUUCAGUGAACCUAACAUGCAUGUUUUUGGAAUGUGGGAGGGAGCCGGUGUACCCAGAGAAAACCCACGCAGCACAUGCAAGCCUAACACAAUAAGGCCGAAGCUGCGAUUCAAACUUAGAUCCUCUCAAAAAUGUAGCUGAGGUGCGCCGCGAAGGCCUCCACGGCCAGCGGACACGGAACCUCGCCGCUUUUCCUCUUGAUGAUAAGACCUGACACAAAUGCGCAUGCGACAGAGUCGCGCCGACCUUGCUUGCUGAACUCCGUGAAGAGGCCGAGGCUGGUGAUGGACGGGCCCGUGAAGACGAUGGUGUUUUUGCCCGAGAUGUUCUGGCACAGCUGCUUGGCCACCAGACUGUGCAGCUGAGGUUUGUU